AUUGAACGCUGGCGGCAGGCCUAACACAUGCAAGUCGAGCGAGCGGCGGACGGGUGAGUAAUGUCUGGGAAACUGCCUGAUGGCGGGGGAUAACUACUGGAAACGGUAGCUAAUACCGCAUACCAUCAGAUGUACCCAUAUGGGAUUAGCUUGUAGGUGAGGUAAUGGCUCACCUAGGCGACGAUCCCUAGCUGGUCUGAGAGGAUGAUCAGCCACACUGGGACUGAGACACGGCCCAGACUCCUACGGGAGGCAGCAGUGGGGAAUAUUGCACAAUGGGCGCAAGCCUGAUGCAGCCAUGCCGCGUGUGUGAAGAAGGCCUUCGGGUUGUAAAGUACUUUCAGUGGGGAGGCGUUACUGACAGAAGAAGCACCGGCUAACUCCGUGCCAGCAGCCGCGGUAAUAC
rnacentral:rRNA from 1 species